rnacentral:rRNA from 1 species
AGCAGCCGCGGUAAUUCCAGCUCCAAUAGCGUAUAUUAAAGUUGUUGCAGUUAAAAAGCUCGUAGUUGAAUUUCGGGAUCAAGUCGUCGGUCGUGCUCAGGUACGUACUGGCGUCAUUGAUUUCUCCCUUCUGACGAACCAUGAUGUCAUUAAUUUGGUGUUAUGGGAAAUCAGGACUGUUACUUUGAAAAAAUUAGAGUGUUUAAAGCAGGCUCACGCUUGAAUACAUUAGCAUGGAAUAAUGAAAUAGGACGUUCGAUCCUAUUUUGUUGGUUUUAGGAUCAACGUAAUGAUUAAUAGGGAUAGUUGGGGGCAUUAGUAUUCAAUUGUCAGAGGUAAAAUUCUUGGAUUUAUUGAAGACUAACUACUGCGAAAGCAUUUGCCAAGGAUGUUUUCAUUAAUCAAAGAACGAAAGUUAGGGGAUCGAAGACGAUCAGAUACCGUCGUAGUCUUAACCAUAAACUAUGCCGACUAGGGAUCGGAUGAUGUUAAUUUUUUCAAUGACUCAUUCGGCGCCUUA